GCCAGAAUCGGCCCUAAUAAAGUUUACAGCUGAAAAAGUCGAGCUGAUUCUCCGAGAAUAGCCCAUGAGUCUGUGCGCAAAGGGGACGCCUGGCCAUGCAGCCGGUUAGUGGCCAAGGACCCCAAAACACCCCCAUCUCCAGAGCAAGGGGGAGGUGAGGAGAGGGAGUUGGCAGGUGCUGACGGCCGGUGACGGAGGGAGGUAUCCAGCUGAGUCCCUGGACGGAAACUGGGACUCCUGGGGGUCAGUGACGCACCGGGGCUCCGUCCACCCAUCAUGCCCAAACGACAGCAGGGCACCCUCAACGAUCCAGUCAUGACACAAAGCAAGCUCCUGCCCGACCGAGAGAAAACUCCAAAUUCCAAAACCGCCGUUUCUGACUCCAAACCGGGGCUCCGGGUUUCACCAGCUUCGGGCUCUCCGGCCUCUGGAACCGCCUGGAUACCAUCGUCCUUUUCCCCGGGGGCCGGCACCGGCCCCCCCCUUAUUGUCCUUCUUCCACUUCAUCCUGCGGUUCUGAAACCAAAUUUUGAUUUGCCUCUCUGUGAGGCAGAGGGCAUGGGCUACCUCGACCCUCCUCCUGCGGGUCAGGUACCGGUUAAAGUGGAACUCCUUCUCCAGCUCCAGCGUCUGGUACCGGGAGUAAGUCUGCCGUCCCCGCUUUCUGUUCGGAUCUGUAAGAUAAAAUGCACUAGCUCUGUAUCACUUCCAAUAAAACAUUUGUCUCGACAUGUAUGAAAUGUGACGCUUCAUAAAGCAUUUAUAAACAAAUUAAAGUGGUGUUGAAAUUGAUGACGACAAUAAAAAA